GACGAACGCUGGCGGCGUGCUUAACACAUGCAAGUCGAACGAAGUGGCGAACGGGUGAGGAACGCGUAAGCAACCUGCCCUUCAGAGGGGGACAACAGUGGGAAACGACUGCUAAUACCGCAUAGUGAAGGAGGGGAUUGCGCCCGAUGAGCUAGUUGGAGGGGUAACGGCCGACCAAGGUGAGGAUCAGUAGCCGGUCUGGGUGGAUUGACGGCCACAUUGGCACUGAGACGAGGGCCAGACUGCCCAGAGUGACACCAGUGGCGACACUUCCGAAAUGUACGAAAGUCUGACAGGGCAACGGCGCGUAAGUGAUGUCGGCCUUCGGGUUGUACAGCUCUUUUAAUCGGUACGCGGUACCGGAAUAGAAAGCGACGGCUAACUACGUGCCAGCAGCCGCGGUAAUAC
rnacentral:rRNA from 1 species